rnacentral:tRNA from 1 species
ACCUGGCUGGCUCAGUCGGCAGAGCGUGUGGCUCCUGAUCUCGGGAUUGUGAGUUCAAGCCCCAUGAUGGGUG